rnacentral:rRNA from 1 species
GACGACCGCUGGCGGCGUGCUUAACACAUGCAAGUCGAACGGAAAGGCCCUGCUUUUGUGGGGUGCUCGAGUGGCCAACGGGUGAGUAACACGUGAGUAACCUGCCCUUGACUUUGGGAUAACUUCAGGAAACUGGGGCUAAUACCGGAUAGGAGCUCCUGCUGCAUGGUGGGGGUUGGAAAGUUUCGGCGGUUGGGGAUGGACUCGCGGCUUAUCAGCUUGUUGGUGGGGUAGUGGCUUACCAAGGCUUUGACGGGUAGCCGGCCUGAGAGGGUGACCGGCCACAUUGGGACUGAGAUACGGCCCAGACUCCUACGGGAGGCAGCAGUGGGGAAUAUUGCACAAUGGGCGGAAGCCUGAUGCAGCAACGCCGCGUGCGGGAUGACGGCCUUCGGGUUGUAAACCGCUUUCGCCUGUGACGAAGCGUGAGUGACGGUAGUGGGUAAAGAAGCACCGGCUAACUACGUG